UACGUAUGGAGCAAGCGUUAUCCGGAUUUACUGGGCGUAAAGGGUGCGUAGGCGGAUUGAUAAGUUAGAGGUGAAAUGUCCGAGCUCAACUCGGGAACUGCCUCUAAUACUGUUGAUCUAGAGAGUAGAUGCGGUAGGCGGAAUGUAUGGUGUAGCGGUGAAAUGCAUAGAUAUCACGCAGAACUCCGAUUGCGAAGGCAGCCUGCUGGACUGUAACUGACGCUGAUGCUCGAAAGUGUGGGUAUCAAACAGG
rnacentral:rRNA from 1 species